UCUACGGGAGGCAGCAGUGAGGAAUAUUGGUCAAUGGGCGGAAGCCUGAACCAGCCAAGUCGCGUGAGGGAUUAAGGCCCUAUGGGUCGUAAACCUCUUUUGUCAGGGAGCAAUGGCGUCCACGUGUGGGCGUAUGGAGAGUACCUGAAGAAAAAGCAUCGGCUAACUCCGUGCCAGCAGCCGCGGUAAUACGGAGGAUGCGAGCGUUAUCCGGAUUUAUUGGGUUUAAAGGGUGCGUAGGCGGGACCUUAAGUCAGCGGUAAAAUUGCGGUGCUCAACGCCGUAGAGCCGUUGAAACUGGCGGGCUGGAGUUGGAGAGAAGUACGCGGAAUGCGCGGUGUAGCGGUGAAAUGCUUAGAUAUCGCGCAGAACCCCGAUUGCGAAGGCAGCGUACCGGCUCCACACUGACGCUGAGGCACGAAAGCGUGGGUAUCGAACAGGAUUAGAUACCCGAGUAGUC
rnacentral:rRNA from 1 species